AGCGAGACGCCCUACCAAUGCGCGCACUGCGCCGCCGCCUUCGGCUGGUACUCCAGCCUGUACAGACACGUCCGGGAGGUGCAUUAUAAGAUGAAACUCCAGCCGAAGAAGAUGCGCAAGCCCAAGCGCGCUUCCCCGCUGCCGCCCGCGCCGCACCCCCUGCCCUUCUAGACACACCCUGUAUAUCGCAACAGGAAUACAAUGUUGAAAAAAACGAGGAGAAAGAAAACAUGACGCUGUAAUAGUAACAACUAUAAUUUGUUUGGAAAGGAAGUAUGUAAUCGCAUAAUUGCACUUUAUUUUUUAAGAUCGAAUUGGGAAUUAACUUACACACUACACUUACAGGGCAGAUAUGUAACAUCCUAGACUGCAUCCCACUUAACACCAGGUGCGAUUGUGGUCAAAUACCUGCCUUGUUAGGCAUAAAAAAACUUUUUUAAAGUGACUUUAUCUACUUAUUUGGGUAGAAAAAUGUAUUACAUACUUUUAAAUGACGGUAACAGACAUGAAAUGUGUCAAGAUGUAUGCAAGUUCCCAUUUUACCCUGAAAGACUUACACCAAAUAGGGGAAGAUGGGAAUUUCCGUGUCAUCUUCCCCCAAAUGUGACUUCGGGAAAAAGUAGGAAGAAAAGGUUUCAUUUUCCCUCGAAUUUUAUUUUACUAUUUUAUUUCAUUUUGGAAUUUUCGUUUUACAUGGUUUUUUAUAUCAAUCGCUAUUCAUCACAAAAGUAUUAUCAGUAUUAAUUAUGUACUUAUUUAAUUUCUAAAGCUAAGGUUCGUGUUCAGAACUCGUAUUUAAAAUUGUACUCAGAAAUAAACAAUGAAUAAACUUCAAUUUUUAGAACAAAUAUUUGUAAUUUAAAACUAUAUUACAUAUAGAUCGUUUCAUCCACUCGGACGAGCCCCACCAUUCUUCCGCGAAUGUCUGAGUGUUAUCGGUACACGCUAAUGCUCCAUGAGUGCACACGCACACUACAGUAAUGCCUUACGGCUUGCUCGGACCACACUCCCCGCACCCCGCGCGACCGAGACCAAACAUGGGGCGCGGCCGAGUGGAUGAAACUAUUUAUCUACUUUGAAAGAUUUCCUCUCCUUAGAUUUUAAGUUUGCAGCGCCCAACAGGGUCCUUAAUGAUCUCCAAAUAUAUGUAACACCUAAAUGUACUUAAGGAAGCAAUAAACAUAUUGAGUAUUGA